AGAGUUUGAUCCUGGCUCAGGACGAACGCUGGCGGCGUGCUUAACACAUGCAAGUCGAACGCUGAAGCCCAGCUUGCUGGGUGGAUGAGUGGCGAACGGGUGAGUAACACGUGAGUAACCUGCCCCCUUCUUUGGGAUAACGCCCGGAAACGGGUGCUAAUACUGGAUAUUCACUGGCCUUCGCAUGGGGGUUGGUGGAAAGGUUUUUUCUGGUGGGGGAUGGGCUCGCGGCCUAUCAGCUUGUUGGUGGGGUGAUGGCCUACCAAGGCUUUGACGGGUAGCCGGCCUGAGAGGGUGACCGGUCACAUUGGGACUGAGAUACGGCCCAGACUCCUACGGGAGGCAGCAGUGGGGAAUAUUGCACAAUGGGCGAAAGCCUGAUGCAGCGACGCCGCGUGAGGGAUGACGGCCUUCGGGUUGUAAACCUCUUUCGCUCAUGGUCAAGCCGCAACAAUGGUUGUGGUGAGGGUAGUGGGUAAAGAAGCGCCGGCUAACUACGUGCCAGCAGCCGCGGUAAUACGUAGGGCGCGAGCGUUGUCCGGAAUUAUUGGGCGUAAAGGGCUUGUAGGCGGUUGGUCGCGUCUGCCGUGAAAUCCUCUGGCUUAACUGGGGGCGUGCGGUGGGUACGGGCUGACUUGAGUGCGGUAGGGGAGACUGGAACUCCUGGUGUAGCGGUGGAAUGCGCAGAUAUCAGGAAGAACACCGGUGGCGAAGGCGGGUCUCUGGGCCGUUACUGACGCUGAGGAGCGAAAGCGUGGGGAGCGAACAGGAUUAGAUACCCUGGUAGUCCACGCUGUAAACGUUGGGCACUAGGUGUGGGGGGCCUUUUCCGGGUUUUCCGCGCCGUAGCUAACGCAUUAAGUGCCCCGCCUGGGGAGUACGGCCGCA
rnacentral:rRNA from 1 species